rnacentral:tRNA from 1 species
GGGGAUUUAGCUUAGUGAUUCUAGCAUGUGCCUUGCAAGCACAAGGUCCCAAGUUCGAUCCCCA